rnacentral:rRNA from 1 species
GUACAAUAAGCUAAAUAAGGGCGUAUGGCGGAUGCCUAGGCUUUCAGAGGCGAUGAAGGACGUGAUAAGCUGCGAAAAGUUACGGGGAGAUGCACAUAAUUUAUGAUCCGUAAAUAUCCGAAUGGGGCAACCCACUAUGUUGAAGGCAUAGUACCGAGAGGGGCAAACGUGGUGAACUGAAACAUCUAAGUAACCAUAGGAAGAGAAAACAAUAGUGAUUCCGUUAGUAGUGGCGAGCGAACGCGGAUUAGCCCAAACCAAUGUUGUUACGGCAAUAUUGGGGUUGUAGGGCUGCGACAUUAGAAUCUUAGAGAACUAGAAGUGUUUGGAAAGACACACCGUAGAGAGUGAUAGUCUCGUAUAGGUAAUCGAAGAGGAUAUAGCAGUACCCUGAGUAGUGCGGGACACGUGUAAUCCUGUAUGAAUCCACCGGGACCAUCCGGUAAGGCUAAAUACUCCUGAAAGACCGAUAGUGAACUAGUACCGUGAGGGAAAGGUGAAAAGAACCCUAAGUAAGGGAGUGAAAUAGAACCUGAAACCGUACGCCUACAAGCGGUCGGAGCACAUUUACUGUGUGACGGCGUGCCUUUUGCAUAAUGAGCCUACGAGUUACUGUUUCUAGCAAGGUUAAACAUUUAAGGUGUGGAGCCGUAGCGAAAGCGAGUCUGAAUAGGGCGUAUAGUUAGUAGUAGUAGACGCGAAACCGAGUGAUCUAUCCAUGGGCAGGUUGAAGCUGUGGUAACACAUAGUGGAGGACCGAACCAGUUGACGUUGAAAAGUCUUUGGAUGACCUGUGGAUAGGGGUGAAAGGCCAAUCAAACUCGGAAAUAGCUCGUACUCCCCGAAAUGCAUUUAGGUGCAGCGUUGAGUAAAAGUUUUAUAGAGGUAGAGCUACUGAUUGGAUGCGGGGGCUUCACCGCCUACCAAUUCCUGACAAACUCCGAAUGCUAUAAAAUGUUUCUCAGCAGUGAGGGCAUGGGUGCUAAGGUCCAUGUCCGAGAGGGAAAGAACCCAGACCAUCAGCUAAGGUCCCCAAAUAUAUACUAAGUUGAAAAAACGAGGUGAAACUGCUUAGACAGCUAGGAUGUUGGCUUGGAAGCAGCCAUUCAUUUAAAGAGUGCGUAACAGCUCACUAGUCGAGCGGUUUUGCAUGGAUAAUAAUCGGGCAUAAGUAUAUUACCGAAGCUAUGGACUUUUAAAGUGGUAGGGGAGCAUUCUAUGUGUGUUGAAGUAGUGCUGUGAGGCAUUGUGGAACGCAUAGAAAAGAAAAUGUAGGCAUAAGUAACGAUAAAGGGGGCGAGAAACCCCCUCACCGAAAGACUAAGGUUUCCUCAGCGAUGCUAAUCAGCUGAGGGUUAGUCGGGACCUAAGGCGAACCCGAAAGGGGUAGUCGAUGGACAACAGGUUAAUAUUCCUGUACCUGCUCUCAUUAAAAGUGACGGAUCUCCCAGAUACUUGCGUACUGACGGAAAUGUACGCUGAGCCUAAUCUUCGGAUGAAGCGAAAGUAAGUAAGAGGUUCCAAGAAAAGCGAGAGAAGCAGCCCGUACCGUAAACCGACACAGGUAGUUGGGAUGAGAAUUCUAAGGUGCUCGAGAGAUUCAUGGCUAAGGAACUAGGCAAAAUGGACCUGUAACUUCGGGAGAAAGGUCGCCCAUUUUCGGAUGGGCCGCAGUGAAAAGAUCCAGGCGACUGUUUAUCAAAAACACAGGGCUUUGCUAAAUUGAAAGAUGA